GAUCUGGUUCAGGAUGAACGCUAGCGGCAGGCUAACACAUGCAAGUCGAGGGGCAACGCGAGUAGCAAUACUUGGCGGCGACCGGCGCAAGGGUGCGUAACGCGUGAGCAACAUGCCCGUAUCAGGGGGAUAAUCCAGGGAAACUUGGUCUAAUACCCCAUAGUAAUUUUGUAAGGCAUCUUAUAAGAUUUAAAGCUUUGGUGGAUACGGAUUGGCUCGCGUGACAUUAGCUGGAUGGUAAGGUAACGGCUUACCAUGGCUAUGAUGUCUAGGGGUUCUGAGAGGAAGGUCCCCCACACUGGAACUGAGACACGGUCCAGACUCCUACGGGAGGCAGCAGUGAGGAAUAUUGGACAAUGGAUGGAAAUCUGAUCCAGCCAUGCCGCGUGAAAGGAAGAAGGUCCUAUGGAUUGUAAACUUCUUUUGUAUGGGAGCAAUAAGGCCUACGAGUAGGUUGAUGAGAGUACCAUACGAAUAAGCACCGGCUAACUCCGUGCCAGCCGCGGC
rnacentral:rRNA from 1 species